rfam:Mustela putorius furo unplaced genomic scaffold scaffold00055, whole genome shotgun sequence.
GCCUGGCUGGCUCAGUGAGUGGAGUGUGUGACUCUUAAUCUCAGGGUUGUGGGUUUGAGCCCCAUGUUGGGUG